GGCAGAAGCAAGAGGAUAUUUUCUCUGAUAUUUACUGUGAGAACCUAGUUCAGUUCCUGGAGAUAAAACUCACAAAAUUGUGGGGAUCCCCAUAUGACUGACCACCCCCUGCUGCCUCCAGAGUUUUAAAGUCUCAGAUUGGUCCACACUGUGCUGCUAGCAAUUCAUCAAUUUCAGCCCCCAUUUAAAGUUUUCUUGACAUGAAGAUCCUAGAGGCAUUUUCUUCAGAACUGAACCAGGGGUAAUCAGUCUCUGUAGGGGAUCACAGCAAACUGCUUCAAGAAAAGCUUCAGGAGUCGCCUGUGUCUUCCCACAACACCUGCUGUCACAGGACUGAUAUUUCUUAACAAGCCCUGCCUCUCCACCCCUGCCUCCAAGACCAGGACUCCGCCCCAUCAGCUGGCCCCUGUGACAUGCUCCCCCAACCCCAAUUAAUUCUUCCUACUGCACUCAAAAAGACAUCGCCACAAGGAAAGGAGACAUUUAUAUAAUUAUUUUUCCUGUACUGUUGGUGCGAAGCCAGUUACCAGGCACUGUGCAGGUAACCCAUGAAUAUCUCUUGAAUUUGCUGAAUCAUAAACUGUCAUCAAAGAGACACAAACCAACUUAGCUCAGCCCACUGAUGGUCUCGAUUGAGUGAUCCUAUAAAAAUAUCAUUAUUUCCUCACUUUUGAGUUGUCCACAUGAGAAAAUGUGGUUAGAGGAAAGCCUUUUUAUUCAACAUGAUCAGGAUGGAUAGCUGGUUGUUUAAGCAAAUAAAAUCUGUUAAUGUAAGAACUCACAAAUACAAAAAUGUAUUUCUCCCUUAUUCAUUUAACCUAACGUAUAUAAAUAUAUGUCCAUUUACCAAUCUUUUUAGGUAGGGC
rnacentral:lncRNA from 1 species